rfam:Marine Group III euryarchaeote CG-Bathy2 CG-Bathy2-C8, whole genome shotgun sequence.
AGGAGAUGGAGGGCGGCUUACGGCCUUCGGGCUGAGGAAAGUCCCCUCUCCAAGGGCAAGGCAGCCUUCGGGGGCCCGCGAGGGUCGGCAAUGGAGCAGAAACGGCACAGCCGCCGGUUAACGGGAUGAGCGCCUCGGGCGUGACGUCGCCGGCGGAUUUGGUGAAACGGCCACCCCUGCCGGAGCAAGUCCAAGCAGGCGCGACGACCGGCCCGGGAGCGCCAGGUAGGACGCAAAGCUGAAUGCCGCCAACCAUUCGGGAGCAAUCCCGGGGGGCGAACAGAAAGGGGCUUACUACCAUCGCCU